rnacentral:rRNA from 1 species
AUUGAACGCUGGCGGCAUGCUUUACACAUGCAAGUCGAACGGCAGCGCGGGCUUCGGCCUGGCGGCGAGUGGCGAACGGGUGAGUAAUGCAUCGGAACGUGCCCAGCAGUGGGGGAUAGCCCGGCGAAAGCCGGAUUAAUACCGCGUACGACCUGAGGGUGAAAGCGGGGGACCGAAAGGCCUCGCGCUAUUGGAGCGGCCGAUGUCGGAUUAGCUAGUUGGUGGGGUAAAGGCUUACCAAGGCGACGAUCCGUAGCUGGUCUGAGAGGACGACCAGCCACACUGGGACUGAGACACGGCCCAGACUCCUACGGGAGGCAGCAGUGGGGAAUUUUGGACAAUGGGGGCAACCCUGAUCCAGCCAUGCCGCGUGCGGGAAGAAGGCCUUCGGGUUGUAAACCGCUUUUGUUCGGGAAGAAAUCCUCUGGGCUAAUACCCCGGGGGGAUGACGGUACCGGAAGAAUAAGCACCGGCUAACUACGUG